UGUCUCUGUGCCUUAAUUUCCCCGCGAGUAAACUACAGACACCAAAAUAUUUCUCCCCAGGCAGUCAUGGUGGAGAUAUAAUUGAUUCUUUCUCAUGUGCUUCUGCAGCAAAGCUUGCACAACAGAGGAGCUCGGUGAGUUGAGCCAAUACUACUAGUUCUGAACGUGGGUAACCAAAGCCAAGCCUGCCCGCCUCUUUCCUAGUCCAGCUGGCCUCCGGCAUACCUGAGCAUUAUUGGCCUUGACUUUCAAGGAAUCUGAUGUUUCCCUUUGAAUACUUUUUAUAUGGUUUUAUAUGAUUUUUAAAGUUGAUUACUUUUUUAUGAGCUGGUUUUUUGUUUUUUGUUUUUUUUUCCUUCAAGAGAAUCAACACUUGAAGGGUCAGGACCCUCCCUUACAUUUUCCUUAGUAUCAAGCUUGGAGCACAGUACAUAGCAUACAAAUGCACAUUUCUUCCAAGGGUCUUUAUAAUACAGAGGUGGAAAUGGCUCAAUGGUUCUAGCAUUGUUGUUUGUUUGUUUGUUUGAGACAGGGUCUCUCUCUCUCUCUCUAGCCCUAAUAUGUCUUAGAACUCACUAUGUAGACCAGGCUGGCCUCAGACUCACAGAGAUAGAUCUGCCUGCCUCUGCCUCUCGAGAGCUGGAAUUAGAUGCAGCUGGUUCUAGUUUUUAUAAAAAGAUUAUUCUAUCUAGUAUUCUAUAUCAGUCUAUACAGACUAGUGUUUUGCCUGCAUGUAUGUCUGUGUGCCAUAUGCUCGAAGCACUCACAAAGGCCAAGGAGGGCUGUUAGAUCCCUACAACUGGAGUUACAGAUGACUGGGAGCCACUGUGUGGGUGCUGGGAACCCAAUCUGGGUCCUCUGCAAGAACACUAGUUGCUCUUAAUCACGGAGCCAUCUCCCCAGCUCCAAGUCCUAGCUUUUGGAUGGAUAGUACAAAUGAUAUCCGACUGCCCUAGUGGGCCACUCCAUAACUCUGUAUCCCACCGCCAGCCCUCUUGAGUAUCCCUUUUAUUGCCUACCGCUUCGGUCCCACCCCUCUACCUACAUCAUAAACCUUCCUCCCCUCAACUAGCACACUGUUUCUCCUCCGGUGCACCCUGAUCUUUCACCCCCUCUCCUUGUCCUGCUUGGUUCCAGCACAGGAUUAAUUUUACCUUCAAUAUUUCGCCUAGGCCACUCGUGCAACACUCAGUCUAACUUGGUGUCAGUUAACAAAAACUAGUCAUUUGUGUAAAUGGCCUUUGACGUGGGACCGUUGAUUAUCCUCAGUGAGCCUCUGUAGUGCUCAGGGUUUGAGGUAUGCUGAAUUAAGCCCACAUUGGACCUAAUUAACGAUGAGACUGGCAAGGAAAGGCAAAGUCCUGUCUUCUGAAAGCAAGAUGCACCAAGAAAGUGCUGGAGCGGACGUGUCAGCUGCCAAUCAGAGGCAUCCCGCCCAUCAAAGGAGAGCAGGUGAGGCCCCUUGGCAUCUAAGAGAAGUUCCUUGAAACCCCCUUCAGGAGAAGCAGCACAGCCUCACCUGGGAAAACAGCAGCAACAAUGCGAAGCUAAUGUUAUAAUUAACAGCACUCUAAAAGGAAUUCUGGGUACCCGAGGUUCUUCCAUGCUCACAAUCCUCUUCUUCACGUGCAGAAACCUCCUUGAAAUUCAAUGUGCCAAAUCUUCAGAAUUCCAAUCAGCACAGAAAGGCAGCUUCUGCCGCCUGCUCUAACCUGCCGCCCACCUUGGGUCCUCCAGCAUCUGCGCUCCCACUUCCCACUCCGGCUUCAUUCCCUUGCACAAGUGGCCAUAACUUGCUGCUUCAAGGCCUGAACCCUGAAGCCUGUCUUAGAGAUCUGAAGGAGCAGCAGUGAAAACCACUGCCCAAGACACAACUGAGUGGAGCUCAGCUAGUCCAACCUACCUGCUCCUCCUCCUCCUCUGGAAGAUGACUUACAUUAACAACAAAUGCACUUUAAAAGCCCAGCUUUUCUCCAACCAUAGCUGAGCCAUCAUUGCUGUUUUUACAAAUUACUGAGAUUGCUAACUUUAGCCCACACUAGCUUCGGUUCAAGGAAUCUAUUUUAUAUUAAGGUUCUCUGGCUUAACCUCAAUCACUUAUUAGGAAAGGUAAAAAUCUGUUAUCCCAAAAGCAGACUAAAACAACAACAACAACAAAAAAGAUAAAUGAAUGUUUAAAUAAAAGCUUUCUAUUUCUACUUACAGGGCUCUCCUCACUAAAGGAUUGGAUUGUGCUGUUAAGUGAUAGGUGUAGCUCUCUGCAAACAAGAUUAUAUUUGGAUAGCGUUCAAGGGAACAGAAUAUUUGAAAUAUUCAUUAAGACUGACUUGAACAAGCCAUAAAAUACAGUGUCAGCCUAAUUCCUUAGGUAAUUCCUUAGAUAAACAAAGCAGCCUUAACUCCCAUUGGAACUGGCUAACAAUGAGACGGACAAGGAGCGGACAUGUCAGCUGCCAGUCAGAAGCAGCAUCCCGUCCAACCGAGAGCAGAUAUGAAUUGGCUCUGGAAGUGUUUGAAGGAAGAGAGUAGCAGCCACGACACUACAGAGUUGUACUCAAAAAGCCAGAGUCCAUGUUUUAAGUUGUGAAAAUUAAGAAGACAUAGUUUGGCUAGAGAGUGCCGGUUUAUCCAGGUUCUUCAAAGCCGAGCCACUCUACCUCCUCCAGCAUGUACUACUCAAAGCUGCUGGCUUGCCCCUGUGAACACUGAAUGUGAUAUCUUGUGUAACUCCAUACUUAUCCUCCUUGGCCAAAGCAGGAAGGAGCAGAGAUGUGGGUCAGAAAAUCUGGUCUCUGCUGAUGCAAACAGAGGAACCAGCCCAGACUCUACUUCCCUUGAAACUUUUCAAUGAGGUAGGUCAUUUUUUUUUUCUUCUGUGGAAGACUCCAAGAAGUUUUGAAAACUAAAAGAACACACCUGAAACCACGUGGUUCACAAUAAGCAAAUGAAUGUUUGGAAGCCUUCAGUUGGCCCCAGCACUGCAAACAUAAUAAACAAUGCAUUAAAUGAA